AUGACCAUGGGCAUGCACGCCACCGCUUGGACGGUCACGGUGGCGCUCGCCGCGGCCGUGCUGGCCUCGUGCCUGUUCAACGCGCUGGUGCGCCUGGUGUGGAGGCCGCGCGCCAUCGCCAGGAGGCUGGCGCGGCAGGGCGUGCGCGGGCCGUGUUACAGGUUUUUCGUCGGCAACCUCGGCGACAUCCGGCGGCUCCGCGCGGCCGGCGCCGGCCUCGUGCUCGACGUCUCCUCCCACGACUUCAUCCCCAUCUCCCAGCCCCAGUUCCGCCAAUGGAUCCCCCUCUACGGCCGCGUGUUCCUGUACUGGUUCGGGUCGACGCCCAACAUCUGCGUGGCCGACCUGGGCGUGGCGAAGCAGCUGCUGUCGGACCGCACGGGGCUGUUCCCCAAGAACCGGAUGAACCCCAUCGUCCGGCUGGUGGGCAAGGGCCUCGUCAUGACCGACGGCGACGUCUGGCACCGCCACAAGAAGGUCCUGCACCCGGCCUUCAACGUGGACAAGCUCAAGGUGAUGACGUCGACAAUGGUGGACUGCGUGCUGUCGAUGGCGUCCCGGUGGGAGGCGCAGCUGGCUACUCAGGGCAAGAACGAUUGCCAGGAGAUCGAGCUGACUAGCCAGUUCGAGGAACUGACUGCGGAUGUGAUCUCGCGCACCGCGUUCGGGAGCAGCUACAGAGAGGGCAGGAAGAUCUUCCUGGCGCUGAACGAGAUCCAGUUCAUCGCCUUCUCGACCCUCUGGACCGACUACAUUCCAGGAUUCAGGUUCGUGCCAACAAAGAAGAACAUGAGGCUGUGGAAGCUGAACAAGACGAUGAGAAGCACGCUGGUGCAGAUCAUCGAGAACAGGCUCGCCGCCAAGGACACGGACGGCUACGGGAGCGACCUGCUGGGGCUGAUGCUGGAGGCGUGCGCGCCGGAGCACGGGCAGGCGCCGGUGCUGAGCAUGGACGAGAUGAUCGACGAGUGCAAGACCUUCUUCUUCGCCGGGCAGGAGACGAGCCUGCACAUGCUCAACUGGACCAUGUUCCUGCUGGGCACGCACCCGGAGUGGCAGCAGAGGCUCAGGGAGGAGGUGCUGCGGGAGUGCGGCGGGGUCCCCACCUACGACACGCUCAGCAGGCUGAGGCUGGUGAACCUGUUCCUGCUGGAGACGCUGCGGCUGUACAGCCCGGUCCCGCUCAUCCGGAGGAGGACGAGGUCGGAGGUGGAGCUCGGCGGCGUCACGGUGCCGAGGGACGCGCUCCUGACCAUCCCCAUCGCGACGAUGCACCGGGACAGGGAGGUGUGGGGCGAGGACGCCGACGAGUUCAACCCGAUGAGGUUCGACGGCGGCGCCGCCCGGGCCGCGAGGCACGCCAACGCGCUCUUGUCCUUCUCCAUGGGUCCGAGGACGUGCAUCGGGCAGAACUUCGCCAUGGUCCAGGCCAAGGCCGAGGUCGCCGUCAUCCUCCGUAGGUUCGCGCUGUCGCUCUCCCCGAGCUACGUGCACGCGCCCACCGACGUGAUCACGCUGCGGCCAAAGUACGGGCUACCGAUGAUCAUCACAAGACUCGACGCCUGA
rnacentral:rRNA from 1 species